CGUGUAGGCGGCCAGGUAAGUCAGAUGUGAAAGUCCCGGGCUCAACUCGGGAAGUGCAUUUGAAACUGCUUGGCUUGAGUAAGAGAGAGGAAAGUGGAAUUCCUGGUGUAGAGGUGAAAUUCGUAGAUAUCAGGAGGAACACCGGUGGCGAAGGCGGCUUUCUGGCUCUAUACUGACGCUGAGACGCGAAAGCGUGGGUAGCAAACAGGAUUAGAUACCCUGGUAGUC
rnacentral:rRNA from 1 species